AGUGAACGCUGGCGGUAGGCCUAACACAUGCACGUCGAACGGCAGCACAGUAAGAGCUUGCUCUUACGGGUGGCGAGUGGCGGACGGGUGAGGAAUACAUCGGAAUCUACUUUUUCGUGGGGGAUCACGUAGGGAAACUUACUCUAAUACCGCAUACGACCUACGGGUGAAAGCAGUGGAUCUUCUGACCUUGCGCGAUUGAAUGAGCCGCUGUCGGAUUAGCUAGUUGGCGGGUUAAAGGCCCACCCAGGCGCCGAUCCGCAGCUGGUCUGAGAGGAUGAUCAGCCACACUAGAACUGAGACACGGUCCAUACGACUACGGGAGGCAGCAGUGGGGAAUAUUAGACAAUGGGCGCAAGCCUGAUCCAGCCAUACCGCGUGGGUGAAGAAGGCCUUCGGGUUGUAAAGCCCUUUUGUUGGGAAAGAAAAGCAGCAGGUUAAUACCCCGCUGUUCUGACGGUACCCAAAGAAUAAGCACCGGCUAACUUCGUG
rnacentral:rRNA from 1 species